CGGCAUGUAGCGUAGCUUGGUAGCGCACCGGCAUGGGGUGUCGGGGAUCAGAGGUUCAAAUCCUCUCAUGCCGA
rnacentral:tRNA from 1 species